rnacentral:rRNA from 1 species
GACGAACGCUGGCGGCGUGCUUAACACAUGCAAGUCGAGCGAUGAAACUUUCUUCGGAAAGUGGAUUAGCGGCGGACGGGUGAGUAACACGUGGGUAACCUGCCUCAUAGAGGGGAAUAGCCUUUCGAAAGGAAGAUUAAUACCGCAUAAGAUUGUAAUAUCGCAUGGUAUAGCAAUUAAAGGAGUAAUCCGCUAUGAGAUGGACCCGCGUCGCAUUAGCUAGUUGGUGAGGUAACGGCUCACCAAGGCGACGAUGCGUAGCCGACCUGAGAGGGUGAUCGGCCACAUUGGGACUGAGACACGGCCCAGACUCCUACGGGAGGCCAGCAGUGGGGAAUAUUGCACAAUGGGGGAAACCCUGAUGCAGCAACGCCGCGUGAGUGAUGACGGUCUUCGGAUU